rnacentral:rRNA from 1 species
AGACGUCUACAUUAGAUACCCCUGUAGUCCCAGCCGUAAACUAUGCGCGUUAGGUGUAUCGGUGACCACGAGUUACCGAGGUGCCGAAGGGAAACCGUGAAACGUGCCGCCUGGGAAGUACGGUCGCAAGGCUGAAACUUAAAGGAAUUGGCGGGGGAGCACCACAACAGGUGGAGCCUACGGUUUAAUUGGACUCAACGCCGGGAAGCUCACCGGAUAGGACAGCAGAAUAAUUGCCGGGCUGAAGACCCUGCAUGACUAGCUG